rnacentral:lncRNA from 1 species
GCCUGGCAAAGUCACAGGAAGUAUCUCCAUGGCACCGCAUCAGCCCUCACAGAGCAGGAAACCUUGAUUUCUACAGAGGCUGUUUCCUCCCAGCCUUGUGCAAGGCCCACUGCAGAGACAAAAUUAUGGUGGCCAAAGUGUGAAUGCCAAGGCCACACUGGCCUCCAUCCCUGGGAUUUGCUGGUAGAAGAAAGGGAAUCAGCGCUGACUGAGCUCCUACUAUGUGCCCUUCCUGGGCCUGGCACUGGAAUCACAGGAUGAAUGAAUAAGGCAUAUUUCCUGCCCUGAGGAGGCGUCUAUAGGGGAAGUCGGAAUUAAGGCACCUCCAGAAUUCUGAGGUCAAGGGAAUGUCAACAGAGCUGUGAACAAAAUGCCCAAAGCCAUGAAAAUCUACAGAGAGAGACUCGAAGGGGAGGAAUGGGGUAGGAGCUGGUGCCGAGGAUGAGAGGGGAGAAUUCACCUGGUGGAGAACUGAUAGGCCAGGCUGAGGUCGGGAUGGUGGAGGAGGUGGUGGAGGUGAUGAGGUACCAGAGCAACCUCGAAGAAAGCUGAGAGGCAGGAGACCGCCAAAGGCAAACUUGGAACACCUGGUGACUCCGACUAACUCUCCAUGUGGUGUCCUUGAGGACUUUUAUGAUACUGCUACCACUGCUAAUAGUAAUAAAAGCCACUAUUUAAUGUGUUUACUAUGCGCUGGGUGUGCAAAUAUUGUGGAAAGAGUGAACAUAUGUGCAGAAUGCUUAAUAAACGUGAUCUCCUUUUAUCUUCAAAAGAA